AGAGUUUGAUCCUGGCUCAGAUUGAACGCUGGCGGCAUGCCUUACACAUGCAAGUCGAACGGCAGCACGGGGGCAACCCUGGUGGCGAGUGGCGAACGGGUGAGUAAUGCAUCGGAACGUGCCCUGAAGUGGGGGAUAACGUAGCGAAAGUUACGCUAAUACCGCAUAUUCUGUGAGCAGGAAAGCAGGGGAUCGCAAGACCUUGCGCUUUGGGAGCGGCCGAUGUCGGAUUAGCUAGUUGGUGGGGUAAAAGCUCACCAAGGCGACGAUCCGUAGCGGGUCUGAGAGGAUGAUCCGCCACACUGGGACUGAGGCACGGCCCAGACUCCUACGGGAGGCAGCAGUGGGGAAUUUUGGACAAUGGGCGCAAGCCUGAUCCAGCCAUGCCGCGUGAGUGAAGAAGGCCUUCGGGUUGUAAAGCUCUUUCGGCGGGGAAGAAAUUGCACUCGUUAAUACCGGGUGUAGAUGACGGUACCCGCAUAAGAAGCACCGGCUAACUACGUGCCAGCAGCCGCGGUAAUACGUAGGGUGCGAGCGUUAAUCGGAAUUACUGGGCGUAAAGCGUGCGCAGGUGGUUGUGUAAGUCAGAUGUGAAAUCCCCGGGCUCAACCUGGGAACUGCAUUUGAGACUGCACGGCUAGAGGAUGGCAGAGGGGGGUAGAAUUCCACGUGUAGCAGUGAAAUGCGUAGAGAUGUGGAGGAAUACCGAUGGCGAAGGCAGCCCCCUGGGCUAUUUCUGACACUCAUGCACGAAAGCGUGGGGAGCAAACAGGAUUAGAUACCCUGGAGUCCACGCCCU
rnacentral:rRNA from 1 species